AUUGAACGCUGGCGGCAGGCCUAACACAUGCAAGUCGAACGAGUGGCGGACGGGUGAGUAAUGUAUGGGAAACUGCCCGAUAGAGGGGGAUAACUACUGGAAACGGUAGCUAAUACCGCAUACUAUCGGAGGUGCCCAUAUGGGAUUAGCUAGUAGGUGAGGUAACGGCUCACCGAGGCGACGAUCCCUAUCUGGUAUGAGAGGAUGCGCAGCCCCACUGGAACUGAGACACGGUCCAGACUCCUACGGGAGGCAGCAGUGGGGAAUAUUGCACAAUGGGCGCAAGCCUGCUGCAGCCAUGCCGCGUGUAUGAAGAAGGCCCUCGGGUUUUAAAGUACUUUCAGCGGGGAGGCGUUACCCUCAGAAGAAGCACCGGCUAACUCCGUGCCAGCAGCCGCGGUAAUUC
rnacentral:rRNA from 1 species